AUUGAACGCUGGCGGUAUGCUUAACACAUGCAAGUCGAACGGUAACAGGCUCUAGCUUGCUAGAGUGCUGACGAGUGGCGGACGGGUGAGUAACGCGUAGGGAUCUGUCUAAUAGCUCGGGACAACACGGGGAAACUCGUGCUAAUACCAAAUACACUCUAAGGAGGAAAGGUGGGGGUUAAACCCUGUCGCUAAUAGGGGAACCUGCGUUGGAUUAGCUAGUUGGUGGGGUAAUGGCCUACCAAGGCGACGAUCCAUAGCUGUUCUGAGAGGAAGAUCAGCCACACUGGGACUGAGACACGGCCCAGACUCCUACGGGAGGCAGCAGUGGGGAAUAUUGGACAAUGGGCGCAAGCCUGAUCCAGCAAUACCGCGUGUGUGAAGAAGGCCUGAGGGUUGUAAAGCACUUUCGGCAAGGAGGAAGUAUAUGGAGUUAAUAGUUUUAUAUAUUGACGUUACUUGCAGAAGAAGCACCGGCUAACUCUGUGCCAGCAGCCGCCGUAA
rnacentral:rRNA from 1 species